rnacentral:ncRNA from 1 species
AUCAAGGCAUUGAAGGGCACAAGUAGACAGCGAAUCGUAAUUGCAGAGAGCCGGUGGGUGGUGAAAACCGGUAUGCGCCGCUUGUUGAAUUACCGCCUGGAGCUAAGUGAAGGAACCGUAUUGCUUUCGAUCAGCGACAGCCAAUGCUAAGCCAUGGGGCCAAGUGGUGCUGCACGAAGCCGUAGUAGUUCACUUCGGAGACCGUCUCCGUUAUCAACAACGAAGUGAGAGUAUCGCUAUUUUCAUUGAAAGUUUUCAUUGAAAUGCAGGCGUACUCUAACGAGGGUGGUACCGCGAGCUAAUCCUUCUCGUCCCUUGG